GCGAAUUGCUACGAUAUCAUUAUAAUGCCCAACCUUAGUGCUGAUCGCCGUGCCAGUUUCGUCGUAAAAAGGUGACAAAUCGGUAGCAGCAGGUUAUUUUUU
rnacentral:sRNA from 18 species